rnacentral:rRNA from 1 species
GUUUAAAAGCAGAGCACCCUGGACAUGCCGGGUCUCAUCUGAUCUCAAAAGCUAAGCCUGGUUAGCUUCCAGGGCCUGCUUAGUACCUGGAUGGGAGACUACAUGGGAAUACCGACUGCUGUAGGCU